rnacentral:tRNA from 1 species
CUCUCGGUGGCCAAGCUGGCUAAGGCGCGAGACUGUAAUUGCAUUGUAAUCUUGAGAUCGGGUGUUCGACUCACCCCCGGGAGA